UUUUUUUUUUUUUUAAAUUUAGAUGUCCCUCACUCAACCAUACUUUUAUUUUUCAUACAAGCACAUGCAUAUAAUGUGUGGAGAUUGCCAGCUAGUGUGUUUGUGUGUCUAUAUAUAAACAAAGGAUAUGUCAGAGAGACUAAAUUCAUAAACUAAUUUUGUAAACUAAAUGAUAUGAAAGUUAAUAAUUGAAUUAUUACUUAAACGUUGAUAAAUGUGUUCAUUUCUAUUGGUGACACAUCAUUUAAUUUACAAAUUUUAUCUACAAAUUUAGUUUCUUAACAUUACCCAUCUACAAAAUACCUUCAACUGUGCGUGAUCAUACCUAAAUCCCUUAAAUUGUGUGCCGAAAAAUGGUUUUUAGUUACUUCUUAACAUCUGAAUUUUAAUUUCGACAACAUCUUUGAUUUUAGGGUUAGGAGAGAGGUCAGGGUUUAGAUUAGCUAUGGUCUAUGGAUGACUCAUGUUGAAGAUUUAAUCGCAUCGUUUGAGAGAUACCCAAACGGAGUGCAAAAACUGCAAUAGGUUUUGUUUACAGAUACAUACUGUAAACAUGAAAAUUCU
rnacentral:lncRNA from 1 species